rnacentral:misc_RNA from 1 species
CAUCAGAUAAAGUCAACAAACAAAGGACCCAAGAAAAUAAUAUUGCUGCAACACCAAAUAGAAAUGAAGAUUAUGCAAUGGAGGACAUUAUUGAAGAAUUACCAACAGGAGGACAUACUGCUCAAAUGCAAUUAAAAAUGGAUUGGAGAAAAUGUUUACCAACAAGCUGGGGUCUAAAUGCUCUUGGUUUGGACGCAAAGGAAAUUAUCAGUUGAACUCAUUAUAUAUAAUGGAAAUUUUAAAAAAUGCAGUAAGAAAACAUUUCCAUACGUACACAAACAGAAACUUUCAAGAUAAUGUAUCCACAUGGUUUAAAUACGCAAAUACUAGACGUCUGAGAGAAAAAGCAGGCCAAGAGAAACGACAGCAAAACAUCGACCAAAAUAUCGAUGAAUAGAUACAAUAAGGGGGAAUAGAUAUAAAGGGAAGAAAGUGAGACCAUAUCGAUCGGUAAAUAGUGUAACGGUAAUGAUCUCUCCCCUUUUCGAAAGAGCAUUAUAGUCACGUUGUGGAGAAACGAACCAUUCUUAAUAUAUAUUUGACAAAAUAUAAGUAGAUAAUUAUAUUGCGAUUCAGAUUUAUCAGAUUGAUUUUUUGGAAAUAAUGUUUUUGAGUUUUCGUUAUAAUGUAAGUUACAAUAAGAUAUUGUUCUUUUUUUCUUUUUUUCUUUGUUUUUUCAUUAAAAUGUUUACAAGUUGUACGUUUUUUUUAUAAUGAUUUAUCCUCUUUUUGAAAGAGCAUACGUUGAAGAGAAACAAACCGUUUAUUUUAAUAUAUAUAUAUA